GUGUGAUGUGGGGUAAUACAAAUUUUAAUUAUGAAGUCGAUUUAGCUUAUAUGCACAUAUCAUAUAAUUAAGGGUAGUUAACUUUUGAAGAGUUAAACUAACCAUAGACGGAGUCGAAUAGUAGUUUUGACAUAGAAAACACGUAAGGUGGAAUAGUCGUGGUUAUAAUGACUAAUCUAACCACCUUGUGAAUUAUGAUGAUAGUUUGACUCUUGACAAGCUAGAUGGAGGCUUGGAAUGAAGCGGGUCAAACGGAGCAAGUACGAAAAGGAAAGCGUAAUUUGGAUGCGAGGUUGUAAAUACGACAAAAGCUAUAUUUGAAAUAUGGUUCCGACACGAAAUGAAACGGGUCGGGACAUAUAAAAUAAUGAUAAACCAUGUUUAAUGGUAAAAUGGGCGAAAUGGUAAUUGGUCACGAGAUGACAUAAGC
rnacentral:lncRNA from 1 species